CCUGCACUGCCAAGGAUGUCCCCAAAAGUCACAUCCACAGGGCUGGAAUUCCACCAAAGGAAUUUUCCCAACAUCCGACCCCAACCCGACUGUUUUUUGGUUUUUUUUUUGGAGGGGAUUAGAUUUUGAUUGGGUUCUUUGUAGAAGGAAUGCAUUUUUUUGGAAGGAUUGGGAUUUUUUUGGAGGGAUUGGGAUUUUUUUGGAGGGAUUGGUGGGGUUUUUUUUUGGAGGAAUUUGGAUUUUUUUUGGAGGGAUUGGAGUUUUGAGAAAUUGGGGUUUUUUUGGAGGGAAUGAGAUUUUGAGGGAUUGGGGUUUUUUGUAGAGGGAAUGCAUUUUUUUGGAGGGAUGUUUUUUUUUGGAGGGAUUGGGGUUUCUUUGGAGGGAAUGAGCUUUUGAUGGACUGGGUUGUUUUUUUUUUUUAAUGGAAUGAGGUUUUUUUAAAGGGAUUGGGUUUUUUGGAGGGAAUGAGAUUUUGAUGGACUGGGAUUUUUUUUGAGGGAAUGCAUUUUUUUUUUGAGGGAUUAGAGUUUUGAGGGAUUGGGGUUUUUGGGGGGGAUUGGGGUUUUUUUGGAGGAAAUGAGAUUUUGAUGGAUUGGGGUUUUUGGGAGGGACUGGGGGUUUUUUGGAGGGACUGGGGGUUUUUUGGAGGGACUGGGGGUUUUUUGGGAAGGACUGGGGGUUUUGAUGGACUGGGAUUUUUGGGAGGGACUGGGGUUUUUUUGGAGGGAAUGAGACUUUGAUGGACUGGGGUUUUUUUGGAGGGAUUGGGGUUUUGACAUCUUGGCGUUCGAUGGCACAAUGAAAGCCAUCCCUUCUCAUCCUUCCCCUCCUCCCUACCAGCACAAGGCGGUUCCAGCCUCCUCUGGAGAACCACGAGGUCUCUCCCGGUGGGAUUUGGCUUUUUUUUCCCCUCGGGAUUUCAUUCCAGGCGCGGCGCUAGGACCCGGCGCUGGAGCCUGCGCCCUGCUCGGCGGCACCGCGGCACCGCAGCCCCCGCAGCCGCCUCCCUCCUCUCCUCCUUCCCGGGAUCAUCCCGCCGCAUUCCCGGUUCUUUCCGCCUCGGGAUCGCCGCUCCGGAGCCGCAGCAAGGUCCCGGACACGCCGAGGAUGCAGCGGGAGGAAUGGAGAGAGAAAGGAAAGAAAUUCCAAGGUCACAACCAGGCAGCAGAGGAGGAGGAAAUUGCAGGAAUUCACAAUUUAAAGGUGGAAUUUGGAGAAAUCAACAGGAAAACCCAAAAAUUCUGCAGUGGAACAACCCUGGAAGGUCCCUCCCGAUGGAAAUUUGGGAAUUCUGGAAUUCCCUGAGCAGUUUGGAGGGAGGGAUGGCAGCAACACACCUCACACAGGUAAAUUCUGCCUGCAUUUCAUAGCUUAAUUAAUUAUUCGUUAAUUAUUCAUUAAUUACUCAUUAAUUAUUAAUUAUUCGUGUGGUGCUAAUGAGGGCGGGUCAAUUCCCAGCGGGAAAAUCCCGAUAUUUCCUGGAGUCAGGAGUAGGAAUAUCCAUUCCUGCCAGCCUUAAUGAGCUCUCCCUAAUUAGCCAGGGCAUUAAUUACCCCCCCCACCCCACCAGGGCUGAGCUAUUCCCACCCAGUCUCCAUUCAAACUUCCCAAAAUCCCAAAAUCCCGACGGGGAAGCGCCGCCCUCAUCCCAUCACUGACCCCACACACAAACCCCAAACAGCCCUAAAAAACCAUAAAUAACCCCAAAACCCUGAAAUGCCACUAAAAACCCCAAAAUCCUCCCCAAACAUCCCAAAAUACCUCCAAAAAAUCCCUAAAUCCCCACUAAAAACCCCUACAGACCCUCCCACAACCCCAAAAUGUCCUCAAA
rnacentral:lncRNA from 1 species